UACGAAGGGGGCGAGCGUUGUUCGGAUUUACUGGGCGUAAAGGGCGCGUAGGCGGCGCAACAAGUCAGGCGUGAAAGCCCCGGGCCUCAACCUGGGAGGUGCGCUUGGGACUGUUGUGCUUGAGUUCGGGAGAGGAGAGUGGAAUUCCCAGUGUAGAGGUGAAAUUCGUAGAUAUUGGGAAGAACACCGGUGGCGAAGGCGGCUCUCUGGACCGAGACUGACGCUGAGGCGCGAAAGCGUGGGGAGCAAACAGG
rnacentral:rRNA from 1 species